UACGUAGGGGGCAAGCGUUGUCCGGAUUCAUUGGGCGUAAAGAGCUCGUAGGCGGCUUGGCAAGUCGGGUGUGAAAACUCCAGGCUCAACCUGGAGACGCCACCCGAUACUGCUAUGGCUUGAGUCCGGUAGGGGACCACGGAAUUCCUGGUGUAGCGGUGAAAUGCGCAGAUAUCAGGAGGAACACCGGUGGCGAAGGCGGGUCUCUGGGCCGUAACUGACGCUGAGGAGCGAAAGCGUGGGGAGCGAACAGG
rnacentral:rRNA from 1 species